UUCUAGGUAUUGAAAGAUCCCACGCAGAGAGACCCUUACUCAAGUCUUGGGAAAUCGCGGACCCCAGACACAGAGAGACCA
rnacentral:pre_miRNA from 14 species